rnacentral:rRNA from 1 species
CUACGGGUCGCUCCAGUGAGGAAUUUUGCGCAAUGGGGGAAACCCUGACGCAGCAACGCCGCGUGAGUGAAGAAGGCCCUUGGGUCGUAAAGCUCUGUCAAUGGGGAAGAAGUUACUUCAUAUUAAUAGUAUGUUGUAUUGACGGUACCCAUGAAGGAAGCACCGGCUAACUCCGUGCCAGCAGCCGCGGUAAUACGGGGGGUGCAAGCGUUAUUCGGAAUUAUUGGGCGUAAAGGGCACGCAGGCGGUCCUGUCAGUCAGAUGUGAAAGCCCGGGGCUCAACCCCGGACGUGCAUUUGAAACAGCAGGACUUGAGUACGGGAGAGGAAAGGGGAAUGCCUGGUGUAGAGGUGAAAUUCGUAGAUAUCAGGAGGAACACCGGUGGCGAAGGCGCCUUUCUGGACCGAUACUGACGCUGAGGUGCGAAGGCGUGGGUAGCGAACGGGAUUAGAUACCCGCGUAGUC